rnacentral:rRNA from 1 species
AGCGAACGCUGGCGGCAGGCUUAACACAUGCAAGUCGAACGGGCAUAGCAAUAUGUCAGUGGCAGACGGGUGAGUAACGCGUGGGAACAUACCUUUUGGUUCGGAACAACACAGGGAAACUUGUGCUAAUACCGAAUAAGCCCUUACGGGGAAAGAUUUAUCGCCGAAAGAUUGGCCCGCGUCUGAUUAGCUAGUUGGUGAGGUAACGGCUCACCAAGGCUACGAUCAGUAGCGGUCUGAGAGGAUGAUCAGCCACACUGGGACUGAGACACGGCCCAGACUCCUACGGGAGGCAGCAGUGGGGAAUAUUGGACAAUGGGCGCAAGCCUGAUCCAGCCAUGCCGCGUGAGUGAUGAAGGCCCUAGGGUGUAAAGCUCUUUUGNGCGGAAGAUAAUGACGGCACCGCAAGAAUAA